AUGUCAGCUUCGCUCGCGCUCGCUCCUCCCGCACCCACCUCCCCGGCCCGAGGCACACUGCAGCUCGGCGCCGACUCUCCGGCCCCGGCGAGGUGGCUGCAAACUCUCGGGCACGCACGGCGCUCGGGGAUCUGGACUCGGGGGAGGGGACGCGCACGGAAGGCGCCAGCUUCCUCCCGCCCGCCCCUCGCAGCCGCGAGCCGAGGUCGGAGGAACCCGGAGCCCCAGCCCGGCAGAGCUGAGCGGCGGCGGCGGCUUCCCUUUUCUCCCCCAGCGAGCCCUGAAGCGCCUCGGGGACCGGCCCUAAAAAGAGCAGGAAAUCUUGUUUACCGCCCAAGGAGCACAGCCGAUCGAGCCUUUGUCUGGAAAGUCAGCAUCUCUGGCUCCGUCAGCAAUGUGUGCCUGGUGACAUUAGCCUUGGGCAGACCGGCCGGAAAAGGGGGGUCGCCAGGUUCAGAUCUGGUUUCAGAGGCGGAUCGAGCGGGUGACUUUUGUGCAUUCGUUUUAAUUUUUGGAAAUCUCUCUUAUUUUUCCUCCCUCGCCCGCUGCCGGGCAUGUCCUGAUCUGGCGCCCGCUACUACUGCCCCGGGCUGCCGAUCAGAGCGGUUUCCAGUGGGUCUCCCUCCCUCCCUGGCUGACUUUGCAACACCGCGUUCCAGGCGGAUCGACCUCGGCGUCGGCGAGGAAGGAGGCGGGGGAGCCGCGAACACCAGGACCCAAGCCUUGACAUGCUCUCGGGCGGAGAGGAGGAAGCCAGGACCUGAGCGCACCGCCGGGGCUAAUUCGCCGCCCGGGUCCGAGCACGGGGCUCCGGGCGCUUUGCCCUGCGCCUGGGCGGCAGUCUUGUUGGUCUGGGGGAGCCCCCCUCUUCCCGCCUCGGGGGUCCGCGGCCGGCAGGACCAUGCUGCUGAAGGAGUACCGGAUCUGCAUGCCGCUCACCGUAGCCGAGGUAAGCGCCGCGCCGGGCCCGGCCUCGCCCACUCCCCGUCCCCGGCUCCGGGGCGCCGCGCCUCCCGGCCGGCGAGUCCACUGCGGGCGGCGGGGAAACCCUGGUGGAAAACUGCCUUCCAAACCGGGAGGCUGGAGGGGGAGGAGGAAGUGGAAUUACUGCUUCCACUUGUCACCCCAGCAAGGAGGGCGGCGUUGGGUGGGGCGGUGGACUGCAGGUGGGUUUUGGGGGGGGGAGGCUCCCAGAAUCCAGAUUGCUGGGGAUCAGAAUGCGCCAAAGGGGUUUGGUCGCCCCCUCCUUCCAAUUAA
rnacentral:lncRNA from 1 species